CCGUAACUAUAACGGUCCUAAGGUAGCGAAAUUCCUUGUCGGGUAAGUUCCGACCCGCACGAAAGGCGUAAUGAUUUGAGCGCUGUCUCGACAAUGCAUCCGGUGAAAUUGAAGUACCAGUGAAGAUGCUGGUUACCUGCGCCAGGACGGAAAGACCCCAUGGAGCUUUACUCCAGUCUGGUACUGGGACUCGGUAUUGCAUGUACAGGAUAGGUGGGAGGCUGAGAAAUGGUAACGCCAGUUGCCAUGGAGCCGCUGUUGGGAUACCACCCUUGCAGUAUUGGGUUUCUAACCAGCCGCCGUGACCCGGCGGUGGGACAAUGCCAGGCGGGGAGUUUGACUGGGGCGGUCGCCUCCGAAAGGGUAUCGGAGGCGCUCAAAGGUUCCCUCAGAAUGGUUGGAAACCAUUCGAAGAGUGCAAAGGCAGAAGGGAGCUUGACUGCGACACCGACGGGUGGAGCAGGUACGAAAGUAGGACUUAGUGAUCCGGUGGUAUGAAAGUGGGAUUGCCAUCGCUCAACGGAUAAAAGCUACCCUGGGGAUAACAGGCUUAUCACUCCCAAGAGUUCACAUCGACGGAGUGGUUUGGCACCUCGAUGUCGGCUCAUCGCAUCCUGGGGCUGUAGUAGGUCCCAAGGGUUGGGCUGUUCGCCCAUUAAAGCGGUACGCGAGCUGGGUUCAGAACGUCGUGAGACAGUUCGGUCCCUAUCCGGCGUGGGCGUAGGAUAUCUGAGAGGAGCUGUCCUUAGUACGAGAGGACCGGGAUGGACGGACCGCUGGUGUACCGGUUAGACUGCCAAGUCUACGGCCGGGUAGCCAAGUCCGGAAGGGAUAAACGCUGAAGGCAUCUAAGCGUGAAGCCCCCCUCAAGAUGAGAUGUCCCAUUCGAAAGAAGUAAACCCCCUUGAAGACGACGAGGUAGAUAGGGCAGGGGUGGAAGUGCAGUAAUGCACGGAGCUGACUGUUACUAAUAGGGUGAGGGCUUGACCAA
rnacentral:rRNA from 1 species